rnacentral:rRNA from 1 species
GUCCAUAACCAUCCCACCCUGAACAUGCCUGAUCUUGGGAGCUAAGCAGGGUUGGGCCUGGUCAGUACUUGGAAGGGAGGCUACCUGGGUGCUGCAGGCUUUUGCGAAAA